rnacentral:rRNA from 5 species
UCCCGAACUCAGAAGUGAAACGAAACAGCGUCGAUGGUAGUGUGGGGUCUCCCCAUGUGAGAGUAGAACAUCGCCAGGC